GAAGAAGAUGACUAUGCUUCAUACAGAUUUAGCCUGGAAUUCGUGGAGAUUCCUUCUCGAAAAAUAAUUUGGGGGAAAUGAAGUGAAAAUGAAUGGUUGCCAGUUCAUGACUCCUUCUCCAGAGGGGCAAGACGCAAUGAUCAAGAGUGGUGGCUCAACCGUACCAUCUAGUACAGACCUUCUAGAAUACAGCAGAACACUGGUUGCAAAUUUUGCCGCUUUGCAUUCUCAAGUCCAGAGUUUCACCAGCUGUCUGAGUUUCCAUACACUCCACCUCUUAUGUGUUGCUGAUUCCUUUUUUUUUUAAUUCUUCUUCUUUCUAGAGAGAGACCUUUUUGGAGCCGAACCUUUUGACCCUUUUAGCUGCGGAGCAGGAGAUUUCCCUCCAGACAUUCAAUCCAAACUAGACGAGAUGCAGGAGGGGUUCAAAAUGGGACUGACUCUGGAAGGCACAGUAUUUUGCCUUGACCCUCUAGACAGCAGGUGCUGAUGCCAGGAAAAGAACCGUGAAAAGAUAUCGCCAUCUCUUUUUUUUUAGGAGGGGGAAAAAAGUUUUAAAACGUAUUACAAAUACUGUCAAUGUGCCAAAAAUGUUUUUUUUCAACUUGUUCACUUUUGUGAGGUUUGCUUCUGUGAAACUCCAGAUAGGUUCCAGUGUUAUCCCUGUACAAAUGUAAAAAGUCACACGUGUAUAUGAAACCAAAAUGAAAUCACACUGCUGUCUUUCUUAGUCAUCUUCCGCCACCCAAUGGCAAUUCACCAUGUGCUGUGAAGUUCUUCGAACUAUUCAUGCAACGCUAUAGAAUCCCCUCAGUUGGUUUCUUCAUUCCCAGUAUGUAGGGCCCUGUUCAUACAUUUUUGUUGAAAAUCGCCCAGAUACUGCAUACCACAGUUCACGCAGUCCAUAAGUCCUUGUUUCUGGCCAUGAUUCAAGCUGCAGUGCGCUCUGUGGUUCUUCACAUAGACUUUCCCACAUUCAUGGCUGUACUUUAACAUAAAGGGAGUGAUGGAGGCAGUUCCAGUUUACUCUCCCAGCAUCACCUAUUUGAGGUGCUUCAGAUGUUGUCAGGCUCCAACUCUCAUCAGCUCCAACUAACAUGACUCUCAUCAACCCUAACUAACUAGCACGUUGGGAAGAUCGGAGCUGAAAACCAGCGACACCUGGGGAACCACAGAUUCCUUUCCUAGCUUUAAGAAUUUUGAUUAGGCGCAUAAGCUUAUUUUUACAUUCCUGGUGGUGUUUGUCGUUUGGAAUCUGCUUCACAAAAAGCUAUGUUUUUCAGUGGCGAGUGAUUGUCUGUUUUCACAUCUACAUGUGCACACAAGCGCUCUUCUGCACUCAGAAGCAUAUUUAGGAGGUGAGGUCCGAUAGCCGACUCCUCAACACAGAUGUUUUGGAAAUCCUGUUGAUUUCCAAGUGGAGGCAGUCUAAAAGUCACUGCUAGGUUGUGCAUGUCAAGUUGCUAUGUACAACGGGAAAAAUCCAGCUCAGAUUGCCUUAUGCACACACGCUUUAGCUAAGAGAAGACACCCUCGAUGUUUUGAGGUCAGGCCCUCUGCGAAUUCCAGAGGGUUUGAGAGUACAUCCUUCAGGAUCUUGGAAGCCUGGAGAAUCAUCUGGAAGCACACAAAGGAGUUCUGCUGCUGGGUCAUAUGGAACCCUAUGAAAGCUGCUUGGAUCAUACAUUUGGCAAAUAAGCUUACUGUGCAAUGUACAUGUCAUUUAUGGGUGCAUAAUUUGAUAACAAAUAACCCAGAGAAGAAUGGUGGGGACAGGUUAUCCUGUUGUCAUUUGUAAUUCUGUGCAGAAGCCCAUUCCUGAGCAUCAGUGUAUUUUUCUUCCACUAGCCUUCAAACUAGCAAUAAAUGAACAUUUCGUUUGUGCAUUUCUUGCAUUCACCGGUGGAAUUGUUCCUUCCUGUUUCCAUAUUUGCCAUCACUUUUCUCAUUUUUUAAAGUGUGUGUGUAUGUAUACACAUUUAUAUAUAUAUACAUAUAUAUGUAUAUACAAUAAUUUUUUUUGGGGGGGGGGAGAUUCCUCUCCUGUAAGGAUCCUUUCACUGAAAAGACUUUUGGGGGGUGGGGAGGGUGGAUGCGAAGGACAAAUAAGAGAAGACACUUAAGAGAUUAUUUUACUGCUUAUAUCUUUUAGACGGGGAGAAAAGAACUAGUUUUCUGGUACUUGGGUUGAAAAAAAUAAUAGCUUUUGACCUUAUAUUGUGAGGUUUACACAGAAAAUAGAAUGCAUUUAUGCAAUAUUAUUACCUUUUUUUAAAAAGCUUUGUUCCAGCCUCGGAAGACGCUUACGCAGAUGCCUGGACAGUCUGGGAUUCUUCACUUGCUUAAAGUUAAGCAUCUGCUUAGGCACUGCGGCUCCAGCGAGCCUUUCCUAUUUUUGCAUUGUGUUAAGUCUUCCUUCUUUUUCGUUGAUCGGUCUGAAUGUAUACCUAUAUCUAUGGACAGGAUCCAAAGAGAACUGCCUGCGUACGUAAAGUGCUUCUGCACAUGUACGGGGAAGAAUGCAGGCUCUCACAUCACACUGAACACCAUUCCAGAGGGUCGCCUGACUUUACAGAAACUGCCUUGGUGAGGACGCAAGGAUGGUGGCUGCAGUAGGAAGGUGUGGGACAAACACUUGCAGUGCGCAUGCAAAACACCACAAACAGUCCUUUGGAUCAUGGCCUAUGUGUCUGUCGAUAUAGUUAUAUACAUAUAUAUAUAUGGAAUCACUAAUGAGUAGAGUAGACUAUGUUUCCUAGAAAGAAAUCUAUAAUUUUGUUUGUCCUAUAGUAUUUUGCAAUUUGUACAACGAGGUUGUUUAGUAGCCAUAUCAAUGGCUUUUUAAAACAAAUAGAAUUUGUAUUUUUAUCGUACUUUUAAAAAAGAAAGCUUUACGUAAUAAGCAUAUAUUUAGGGGCCGUUUACUACGGAUGGUAACGAAACACUCAGAAAAUAUUUGCACAUUUUAAGAAACCUUUGUUUUACUGAUUUUUACGUGGGUUGAUUCUACGAAAUGCUAAAUAUGAUCUAACCGAUCUCGUCAGUACAAGGACACCUAAAUUAAUUCAGCGAGAAAGUACAUUUUUAACGAGAGGGUUCUAGUGUUCUGGUUGAAAUUUGUAUUUCUAUGUAAUCUCAAACUGUCUGUUUAAUUUUGCUCCGAAUAAAUGUUUUAAAUAAU